GUGAGGAAUUUUCCGCAAUGGGCGAAAGCCUGACGGAGCAAUGCCGCGUGAAGGAUGAAGGCCUAUGGGUUGUAAACUUCUUUUCUCAGAAAAGAAUUAUGACGGUAUCUGAGGAAUAAGCAUCGGCUAACUCUGUGCCAGCAGCCGCGGUAAGACAGAGGAUGCAAGCGUUAUCCGGAAUGAUUGGACGUAAAGCGUCUGUAGGUUGUUUAAAAAGUAUUCUGUCAAAGAUUAGGGCUUAACCCUAGAUAGGCAGAAUAAACUUUUAAGCUAGAGUUUGGUAGAGGCAGAGGGAAUUCCCGGUGGAGCGGUGAAAUGCGUAGAUAUCGGGAGGAACACCAAAGGCGAAGGCACUCUGCUGGGCCAAUACUAACACUGAGAGACGAAAGCGAGGGGAGCAAAUGGGAUUAGAAACCCCGGUAGUCC
rnacentral:rRNA from 1 species